rfam:Candidatus Thrbacteria bacterium RIFOXYC2_FTLL_47_19 rifoxyc2_full_scaffold_169, whole genome shotgun sequence.
GGGGAUGACAGGGAUCGAUGGGAGAUCCUUUCGCGAUAUGCCGGUCGAGGGCGCCUGCACCUCGUAAAUCUCAGGGCAAUGACAUACACGCCAAUUUUGUCAGCAAGGUGAAGAGCGCGAUGGCUUCGGCUUUCUCGCCCGUUACCGCUUCGGCGUUCGCUUAACCGAAUGCCCAUCCGACCCAACGACGUCCGAUAGUUGGGAUCCGGGUGUCAUAUAUCGGAUUGGGUCCGCGCCUCUUUCCGUAGCGCGGUCCGACCUGGCACGGAAAUAGGGAUGGUGGGUUUGGUUCGUCUAACAUCACCACCCCGAAACACCAAGACGGAAUACAUCGGUAGAAGUAUCGUGGAGCGACUCACCAGACGGGAGUUCAAAUCUCCCCAUCUCCACCA